rnacentral:tRNA from 1 species
GUUUUAAUAGUUUAAAAUAAAACAUUGGUCUUGUAAACCAAAAACAAGGUAUACUUUUAAAACU